CCGGCCGCCAAACAGAUACGUCACGGGGCAGCCGGGCGGGGCGGGACAGAACUCUCGCCCGAGCGACCGGGGUGAGUGUGAGUGUGAGAGCGAGAACAGCCCCGCAGGUCCCGAGGCGCUGGCUGGGGACGCUGCCGCGGAAAGUUCCCAGUCCCCAGCCGCAGAUCUGCAGAGUUGAAAUGAAAUGUUUUGAGCUCUUCAAGCUGACUCGUCAGAAUCCUGGAGCCUUUUAAAAAAUGACGAAUUGGAAGAAAAAAAAUUACUUUAUCAAUAACCAGGCUCCACCAGGAUUGACCAAGAUGUUUGUUCCUGGCACUUGUCAUUCUCAGCAAGCACAGCACAGAGAGCAAAUACAAAAGGCCCAAAGUGCAUUGCAUCUUUUAUGGAAACUUGUCCAAUUUGAUGUCAAUGGAAAUGCGUGAGAUCUUUAUUCAGCUUUCACACCUGAGCAAUGCUUUUGGUAUGUCUUGGGCUAAUAGCCAAUGUUCAGUCUUAGAAUUAUGAUAAAAACCUAAUAUUAUUGCUUGUUCCUUAGCAUAUAUAUUUGAGAACCUUGGCGGCUGCUGCUAAUUUAAUGGUAAAGUACUGAUUGCUGAUUUUCUCAAAGCUUUUUUUAAAAACCGUAGCCAGUCAGACUACCUAACAAAGUACCUAAUUUAACAAUAAUAUAUUUACAUUUUGCUGGAUAACACAAGUGGCAAAAGUAUUGUUUAAGCCCAAGGAACCUGACAAGCAUUCAGUUGGUCACAGGUUUCGAUGGAUUUGUUGGCUGCAUAACUAACUAGUACUUAAUGAAGAUGUGCUGACUGGAUGAAUGAAUGCUUGACUUUUUACCUUUCUGUUUUAAAUUUUAAAAUAUAUUUCUAAGAUAUUAUACCUUAGUUUCACAAGCUAUGUUUUUAAUAAUCUGUAUUUGUAACAAGUAUUUUAAAAUUAGUUAUUUUUAAGAAACUUUACCUAAAAUGAAAAGUUCACUGUACCUAAUUACAAAUGUGUUACAAUACUUGAUGUCUCCCAAUUAAUACAGUGCAUUUCUCUAAACUGCCACUACUCAAAAGUGGUAUCUCUUCUUAUAAUUUUCUUUUGUUUUCAGAUUUUCUUCUAUUUCAUAAUACUGUGUUGAAUAUAUAAAUAUGUAUAGAGUAAGUACAAUGGUCAAUAUUCUGAAUCGUUUUGUUCAUUUUAUAAGGUCAUGAUGUCCUACUAAGAAGAAACCCCCUGAGAUGAGAAUGUUCGAUGUUAAGAGCAAACAAAAACAAAAACCAACCAACAAAACAGAAAAAAAAAAAAAAAAAAAAAAACCCAAAAUGAAACAGAAGUUUUUGAAGGACAGCAGAAAUGGGAAGUUUUUUCCAUGAUGCAAUACGCUAAAUGGAAAGUAACCUUCUCCUGGAAGCUACACCUAGAUGGCCCUAGUCAUGUGAAACCAGUGAUGAUAGCAACAGAUGAAGAUUCUGGACAGGGAAACUAAGGCUUGAACAGUUUGGAUAUGUCUGUUAUUAAAAUGUACGCAUCUUUUGACAUUGGAGUAACAAGAGGGGGUAAGUAGGAUUGUUAGCUUUUUAAAAUAUUUCUUAUUAAGAGAAUUUUUUAAAAGCUCAAUUUUUGGUGCUAAAAUCCAAGACACGCUGGAAGGUGGCUUAUUUCAGUUGGAAAGAUAGUAAGCUGGUUUUCAGAGCCCAAGUAGACAGUAUAUUUUGGAAUCCUGAAGUCUGUUAUUUCUAACAUGCACAGAUAGCAUUGACAAAUUAUCUUCUGACUGAAAAUCUAAGUUACUGAUGUUUUUGAUGGUUAUUUAUUUCUUAUUGCAAUUCACAUUGGAAUUUUUCUAAAGGUUUUUUAUGUUUUCAUUUAUUUGUUUUAGUAUAUUGGUUCUUAUCUGAUUAAUUAUAUUUUUUCCUAGAAUUAAAAUAAAAUUAUAUUUAUCUCAGAAAGGCAAAGAAUGAGUAAAUAUUUAACCUAGAACACAUGAUAUGUUUAUUAUAAAAGUUUAUUGAUCUUUAUCGUUAUUCUUUUUAACAAUAUAUCAGAAUUAGGCUAUGUUGAGAUGGGACAAUUUAUUUAUAAUCUUAAAACAAGUACUUCUCUAAGUAAAUAUGUUUCUCUUUUUUCUUUGUAAAAUUCGUAGUUUGGGGUUAGCUGGCAUUCUCAUAAGUUACAUAAUAUUUUUAUGUUUAAAAUAAGGGUAUGCUUGGGGGCAUGAGAUCUGAUUCUUAGGUUGGGGACUGUAACAAUAACUCCUAUUUAUGUCUCUGUUUUAAAAUCAGAUCUAUUGUAUACAAAGAAGAAUUUUACAUGUAAUAGCAGAAAUGUAAUAAAUCUUAAAGUUUUAAUUUUAAAACUUAAUUAAAAAUAUAAAUGCCACGAUACUUAAGGACCUCUAUUUAAUAUGCUGCUUCUGUCUUAAAUUGUUGACGUUCACACUGUCCUUGCAGAAUUUUAUUGCAUUCAGGAACGUUUGUGAAUUUUCUUUUAUCUAAGAAGAAUGUGUUAUAUUUCAGUGAAUUAUAGGUGGCAGUAUACACAGCUAAAUUCCAUGUGUUACUGCAGGUAGAUAAGAGGUUUUUCAAUUGUUUAAAAAUUUUAUAUUUAAGCUUUUUGUCAUUCUAGCCUGGUUUCUUAAUGACCUCCCAUUUUUGGUCUUAAUAUAAGAACACCAAGUAAACUUCUUUUGAUAAGAGAAUGCUGGUGAGAAGUAUUUUGAAUCUCAAGUUUAUUCUGAAUGUUAGUUAAAUGCAUUUCAAAAAAAUUGCUAAAUAAAGAUACAUUAGAAAGAGUAUAAUACUCAUUGACCACUUGAUUUAAUAUUAAAAUGAGAAUUUAAAACCAAAUGAACUCUUAGAAUUACAUAUCAAGCCAAUGACAGAGAAUUUUUUAUUCUGUCUCUUUCAUUUUCUGUUUUAAAGGUUACAAGCAAAUAUGCUUUGACUGCUAAGUUGUGAAAUGUAAUACUUUUCUGAUUUAUUAUCCUGAAGUGUGAUACCUAUCUAUGAGAAAGUUAAGUACAAAAUUGCCGUUCUUUAUGCCUGAUAUAUACCCUGAAAGUAUUAUAUUCAUGAGAAUGAUGAGAAAAUUAUAUAUGGUAUGAAGAAAGAGAAUAAACCUUAAAUUGAUGAUCGAUAGUUAUACUGUGGCAUCUCAUGGAGAAUAAAAAUGUUGAGCAUUAGGGCAGUCUAUUAACUUCAUUCCUUUGAGAAACUUUUACAAAGUGUGUCUCAAGGUUUUAAUGACAGUUAUUGAGAGACAUAUGGGGUGGUGGAAGUGAAAGUCAGAGAGGUAAACAGGUCUAACUCUGCUGCCCUGCAUGCUUUUCCUGUUGUGCUGUUUUACAUACUGAACCUUGUGAAAUGUGACACCCCUUUUCCUUUGAAACUGAAAUUAUUUUAUCUAAUCAAAAUUUCUCAUGUGUAGAGGAGGACAUUGAGAAUGAGAUGUUCUCAGUGUAGGGUUGACAUUACAGAAUAUAACCUCUGAUAAGUAAACAUUACUUCGUUUUUAUUUAUGUUUACUUUUUUUUUCUUCUUUUUUGAGGCAGAGUCUUACUCACUUCAGACUCAAAUUCCCAAGGCUCAAGCAA